rnacentral:lncRNA from 1 species
CCCGGGACCCCGGCGGGACUGUGCCUCGGCCGCCCAGUCCUGGGGCUCCGUGGCUCCCACCCUGGCCUGGGCCAGCCUCGGGUCCCCUCGGGUGGGGGCUCGGCAGGGAGAGAGGGAGAGGGGAGUGGGGGAGGAAGAGGAGAGGCGCCCUGACUCACAGGGGGUGACUCAGCCUCGGCCCACCGAGCGCGGCCGGAUACCCUCACCUCCCCUCCCUGGCAGCUCGGCGCGGGGCAGAACUUCCCCGGAGCCAGCGCUCCUCCUCCACCAGGGGGGCGGUAUCGCAAACGUCUCCCAGGGGUCCCAUGUGUGUGUACGUGUGCAUUUGUUCCUAUGUGCUUCGGUGACAAAUGGCUGUGUAACGGUGGGGCCUGGCCGGUGUACAGCUGUUUCUGGAGGUGCCGUAGGCAUCCAGGCUCUAGGAAGGUGGGCUUGGGGGGUGGCCAGAAGGCCAGCAGCACCAAGGUCCUGGCUCAAAACCAAGUGAAGCCUGGCUCCUCCCUUCCAGCCGCGCUGUUAGAACUCAGAAAGCUGUCCAGACCACCUUACCAGACAGAGGAAAACCCCCAACAGCCUGCCUUCCAGUCCAGCCCUGUCACGUGUCAACCAGUACCUUUGGGCACAUGGCUCUCUUGCUCUGGGCCUCACUUUGCCAAUGAAAGAAAGAGCUGGAUGUACCUGUCUCCACAACAUGAUCCCCUGAGAUUUCUGCCCACCGGUCCACAUUUGCAGCCCACACGACCCCUGCUCCCUGACCCGCCACCAUCCCGGGCAUACACAUACACAUUCUUUAAAUCAUUCCUGAGUACCUACUGCAUGCCAGCCACCGUUCUAGGUGCUGCAGAAUCCACCACACUGGAAACUGAAGGUUCAAAGCUGGGACGCCACCCACAUGAGAACCAAGAGAUCGGAAGCCAUGCGCAUCCACUCGGAAAGAUAGUGUAG